UAGGGAAUCUUCCACAAUGGACGCAAGUCUGAUGGAGCAACGCCGCGUGAGUGAAGAAGGUCUUCGGAUCGUAAAGCUCUGUUGUUGGUGAAGAAGGAUAGAGGCAGUAACUGGUCUUUAUUUGACGGUAAUCAACCAGAAAGUCACGGCUAACUACGUGCCAGCAGCCGCGGUAAUACGUAGGUGGCAAGCGUUGUCCGGAUUUAUUGGGCGUAAAGCGAGCGCAGGCGGAAUGAUAAGUCUGAUGUGAAAGCCCACGGCUCAACCGUGGAACUGCAUCGAAACUGUCAUUCUUGAGUGCAGAAGAGGAGAGUGGAACUCCAUGUGUAGCGGUGGAAUGCGUAGAUAUAUGGAAGAACACCAGUGGCGAAGGCGGCUCUCUGGUCUGCAACUGACGCUGAGGCUCGAAAGCAUGGGUAGCGAACAGGAUUAGAUACCC
rnacentral:rRNA from 1 species